GUGUCAGCCGCCGCGGUAAUACAGAGGUCCCGAGCGUUGUUCGGAUUCAUUGGGCGUAAAGGGUGCGUAGGCGGCGGGGAAAGUCUGAUGUGAAAUCCUGGGGCUCAACCCUGGAACUGCAUUGGAUACUUCCUUGCUAGAGUACUGGAGAGGAAACUGGAAUUUACGGUGUAGCAGUGAAAUGCGUAGAGAUCGUAAGGAAGACCAGUGGCGAAGGCGAGUUUCUGGACAGUUACUGACGCUGAGGCACGAAGGCCAGGGGAGCAAACGGGAUUAGAUACCCUCGUAGUCC
rnacentral:rRNA from 1 species